rnacentral:tRNA from 1 species
CCCGUGAGCCGGUCCUGGGGGAGCCCUGCGGGGUAUCCGAACGGCCCUUCGGUCAUCCCUGGGUAUGACGGCGACCCUGAGG